GGAAGUAAAAGUCGUAACAAAGGUCUCCGUAGGUGGACCUGCGGAGGGAUCAUUACAGAGUUCAUGCCCUACCGGGUAGAUCUCCCACCCUAUGUUAUUAUUACUUUGUUGCUUUGGCGGGCCGUUAGGCUCCGGCCCGACUACCGGCCCCGGCUGGUAAGCGCCCGCCAGAGGACCCAAAACCCUGAAUAUUAGUGUCGUCUGAGUACUAUAUAAUAGUUAAAACUUUCAACAACGGAUCUCUUGGUUCUG
rnacentral:misc_RNA from 1 species